rnacentral:piRNA from 1 species
UACAGAAUGAGUUCCAGGAUAGC